rnacentral:lncRNA from 10 species
AAUGGUGUGGGUCCUGAGGAAGAGAGCGUGGACCCAAAUCAAUACUACAAAAUCCGCAGUCAAGCAAUUCAUCAGCUGAAGGUCAAUGGGGAAGACCCAUACCCACACAAGUUCCAUGUAGACAUCUCACUCACUGACUUCAUCCAAAAAUAUAGUCACCUGCAGCCUGGGGAUCACCUGACUGACAUCACCUUAAAGGUGGCAGGUAGGAACUCUCCCUGGCAAAUCACUGAACUCCCACAGCAGGUAGGCCUGCGGCUUCAGUAGCACAAGGGAAGGUCUGGGUUGGUCUUGUUCUCAAGUAGCCUGUGUCUGAAGCUACUUUACUAAGGACAGUGCCAUUAUAUCUAUACAGAAAGAAGCAGAGCAGCCCUGAGACAUGGAAUCAUAUUCCAGAUGAGGUAGUGCUACAAAGAGAGGGGCUUUCUCUAUAAGGAUUCCCUUCAUCAGCAAGAAUCAGCGGUAGAAGUCUCAGGCUUCUAAGAAUUCCAGUCUUUGGCCUAAGAAUGCUUUGCACUGAGACAGUAUUUCUAGAACAUUGCUCUUUUGGAGUUGUAGUAUCUUGGGUGAGAUCUUCUUUUCCUAAAUUUAAAAAACAAAAAAAAAA